rnacentral:sRNA from 1 species
CAUUGCACUCCAGCCUGGGCAACAAGAGCCAAACUCCCUGUCAAAAAAAAAAAAAAAAAAAAAGAAAGCAGUUGUUGGACAGUGGGUUGGCCAUUCUUAGAAUGACUUGGAGGCUUAUUUUAUUCUGGGUUUUUCUAAAAAGGACAGGACAUUUACUGGUCAUAUCUGAUAAAAUAAAUAGUCUAUUAAAUGAACUCUAAUUAUUGUUAAUCAUUGAUGCCCUUUGGAUAAUGUCAAAAGUCAUCAGACUGGGGAUGGUGGCUCAUGCCUGUAACCCCAGCACUUUGGUAGGACGAGGCCGGCGGAUCACUUGAGGUCAGGAGUUCGAGACCAGCCUGGCCAACAUGGUGAAACUUCUUACCUACCAAAAAUACAAAAAUUAGCCAGGUGUGGUGGUGUGCGCCUAUAGUCCUGGCUACUUGAGAGGCUAAAGCAGAAGAAUCGCUUGAACCUGGGAGAUGGAGGUUGCAGUGAACCGAGAUCACACCACUGCACUCCAGCCUGGGGGACAAAGUGAGACUCUGUCUCAAAAAAAAGAAAAAACAAAGCCAUCAACCUUGUAAUUAAACGUGAUUUGUCUUUAUCCACA